CGGGUUUUGUAGCUUGUCCGAACGCGUAGACUCCGAAACACAGGUCUUCUCGCUGACUCGGCUCCAAUUUCACACAAACCACUAAACCAAAAGAAGAAACCUUUUGCCCUUUUUAAAUCUCCGGUCACCGAUUCAAUUACCUCAAUUCUGAAUCCUCUCCUCGAUCCAUCCCUCACUCAUGGAGAUUACACGCAGAAGCCUCACUCUCACUCUUUUUCUCUCUUUAUAUAUAGUCUCCGCCCUCUCCCUCUCCUUUUUCUCACCGACCGAUAACUACCUUAUCAACUGCGGCUCCUCCGUUGACGCUGCUGUUUACA
rnacentral:misc_RNA from 1 species